rnacentral:rRNA from 1 species
AGUAAUGCGUGACCAACCUGCCCCAUGCUCCAGAAUAGCUCUUGGAAACGGGUGGUAAUGCUGGAUGCUCCAACUUGACGCAUGUCUUGUUGGGAAAGUGUUUAGUGGCAUGGGAUGGGGUCGCGUCCUAUCAGCUUGUAUGCGGGGUAAUGGCCCACCUAGGCUUCGACGGGUAGCCGGCCUGAGAGGGCGGACGGCCACAUUGGGACUGAGAUACGGCCCAGACUCCUACGGGAGGCAGCAGCC